rnacentral:snRNA from 1 species
GUGCUCACUUUGGCAGCAUAUAUGCUAAAAUGGGAGCAAUACAGAGAUUAGCAUGGACCCUGUGCAAGGAAAAACAAAUCCUUUUAAGACAUUCAUCACUAAA